ACGCACGCUGGCGGCGUGCUUAACCCAUGCCAGUCGCACGGAAAGGCCCUGCUUUUGUGGGGUGCUCGAGUGGCGAACGGGUGAGUAACACGUGAGUAACCUGCCCUUGACUUUGGGAUAACUUCAGGAAACUGGGGCUAAUACCGGAUAGGAGCUCCUGCUGCAUGGUGGGGGUUGGAAAGUUUCGGCGGUUGGGGAUGGACUCGCGGCUUAUCAGCUUGUUGGUGGGGUAGUGGCUUACCAAGGCUUUGACGGGUAGCCGGCCUGAGAGGGUGACCGGCCACAUUGGGACUGAGAUACGGCCCAGACUCCUAGGGGAGGCAGCAGUGGGGAAUAUUGCAAGAUGGGCGGAAGCCUGAUGCAGCAACGCCGCGUGCGGGAUGACGGCCUUCGGGUUGUAAACCGCUUUCGCCUGUGACGAAGCGUGAGUGACGGUAAUGGGUAAAGAAGCACCGGCUAACUACGUG
rnacentral:rRNA from 1 species